rnacentral:rRNA from 1 species
UGGGGAAUUUUGGACAAUGGGCGAAAGCCUGAUCCAGCAAUGCCGCGUGUGUGAAGAAGGCCUUCGGGUUGUAAAGCACUUUUGUCCGGAAAGAAAUCCUUGGCUCUAAUACAGUCGGGGGAUGACGGUACCGGAAGAAUAAGCACCGGCUAACUACGUGCCAGCAGCCGCGGUAAUACGUAGGGUGCAAGCGUUAAUCGGAAUUACUGGGCGUAAAGCGUGCGCAGGCGGUUUGCUAAGACCGAUGUGAAAUCCCCGGGCUCAACCUGGGAACUGCAUUGGGUGACUGGCAGGCUAGAGUAUGGCAGAGGGGGGUAGAAUUCCACGUGUAGCAGUGAAAUGCGUAGAGAUGUGGAGGAAUACCGAUGGCGAAGGCAGCCCCCCUGGGGCCAAAUACUGACGCUCAUGCACGAAAGGCGUGGGGAGCAAACAGGAUUAGAUACCCUGGUAGUCCACGCCCUAAACGAUGUCAACUAGUUGUUGGGGAUUCAUUUCCUAGUAACGUAGCUAACGCGUGAAGUUGACCGCCUGGGGAGUACGGUCGCAAGAUUAAAACUUAAAGGAAUUGACGGGGUCAUAGCUGUUUCCU